UCCCUCAUAGCUCAGUUGGUAGAGAAUCUGCCUGCAGUGCAGGAGACCUGAGUUCGAUUCCUGGGUUGGGAA
rnacentral:tRNA from 1 species